rnacentral:rRNA from 1 species
CCUACGGGAGGCAGCAGUAGGGAAUCUUUCACAAUGGGCGAAAGCCUGAUGGAGCAACGCCGCGUGCAGGAUGAAGGCCUUCGGGUUGUAAACUGCUUUUAUAAGCGAGAAAUAUGAUGGUAACUUAUGAAUAAGGAUCGGCUAACUACGUGCCAGCAGCCGCGGUCAUACGUAGGAUCCGAGCAUUAUCCGGAGUGACUGGGUGUAAAGAGUUGCGUAGGUGGCAUAAUAAGUAGCUAGUGAAAUCUGGUGGCUCAACCAUUCAGACUAUUAGCUAAACUGUUAAGCUCGAGACCGUUAGGGGUAACUGGAAUUUCUAGUGUAGGAGUGAAAUCCGUAGAUAUUAGAAGGAACACCAGUAGCGUAGGCAGGUUGCUGGGACGGUUCUGACACUAAGGCACGAAAGCGUAGGGAGCAAACGGGAUUAGAUACCCGAGUAGUC